rnacentral:rRNA from 1 species
UACGUAGGGAGCAAGCGUUGUCCGGAAUCACUGGGUGUAAAGGGAGCGUAGGCGGGGGAGCAAGUUGGAUGUGAAAUCUACCGGCUCAACUGGCAAAUUGCAUUCAAAACUGUUCUUCUUGAGUGAAGUAGAGGCAGGCGGAAUUCCUAGUGUAGCGGUGAAAUGCGUAGAUAUUAGGAGGAACACCAGUGGCGAAGGCGGCCUGCUGGGCUUUUACUGACGCUGAGGCUCGAAAGUGUGGGGAGCAAACAGG